CCACGCUGAAAAGGCAACCCUAACCCUACUGCUGGGGGAAAUCAAAGCCGGAAAGAAAUCUCCCACCUCCACCCAAACAGUCCCGGUGUCCCCUUUAGGACAACAAAGAGGACGCUCGCCGCCUGGGGCUGGCGCUGGCGCCCCCCACUGGGGGCCAGGAGAGAGGUGGUGUAGUCCGGCCGUCGUGGACCAGGCCCAGGAUAAAUGGAGGCAAGGGUCAGAAGACCUGGCUGGUCCGACUGAUGCAGCGAAAGAGGACCCAGAAGCCACCCGGACUGGAAGCUAUCCUGAAGCUGUGAGGGUGGCAGAGUGGAGAGUCCAGAGCAGCAUUGGUGAAGAUGUGGCACCUGUGCAGAACCAGCACUCAAGGAGCUGCUCCAUUCCCCCUCUUUCCCCAUCUGAGGACAUUUUUAGCAUGUCCCCCCCCCCCCCCCCUGUUCAGCCCCCCACUCUGGGCAUGGGGGAGCUAACAAACAGCUUGUAUUUGCCCUCAAACUGGGAAAAAGGUUCGUCAAUGCUGAUCUGGAGAGCUGAACUUGGAGUUCAGGAGGCCUGAGUUCAAGUUCCACCUCUAAAACCUACUGGCUGUGGGACCCUGGGCCAGUCAUUGUAUUUUCAGGGUCCCAGACAACUCUUGAAGACUGCAAGUGGAGAUGUUGAUCUGUGGUGGUGAACAGAGUUUUCAUACUGAGAGUUCCUUUUAUUGAUAAAAUUACAGAUUUAGACAAAAAGAAAAAAAAAACCCAAACCCAAACCAAAGUGCUGCUCCCACAUGACCUCUGCCUACUCCUCACCCUCUGCUUCCCCCCCACCCCCCUUGUCUCUCUGUCCUCUCUUUCUCCAUUUCUCUCUUUCAGUCUCUUUGGCCCUGUCUCUGUCUCUGCCUCUCCCUCCAUGAAGUCAGAGUAGAUUCUUUGUGAGGUACUUUCCAACAGUGAUAAUUGGCGAGCCAGCAGAGUGUGAUCAUCCAGUGGGGCCCCACUGGAAGAACAGUAGUGAGUGACCAGGAUG
rnacentral:lncRNA from 1 species